AUAGAAAUUUUUACCACCAGAGAACGCUUUUGUAACACUAAAGAAAGAUUAUGUUCUAAAGAUACCUCAUCAUUCCUAGUAUAUUGUAUUUUUCGUGUAGCAUCUCUGCAGCUUGAUGGAAAGUUCCACGAAGAUUAGUUUUUUAUUUAUAUUUACAUAAUCACAUAUUUCUAAAAAUGCAUCGAUAUUUUAAUAAUUAUAUAUUAUUAUUAAUAUAACAAAUUUUAUUUUGAACAAACCGCGAAUUUUGUUUUCUUUCAAAAGGUAGUGAAAAUGAGUAGUAAUAUUUCAACCACGUGUUCGACCCUACUGUCGAUGCAUAUGCAAUUCUUAAUCGUUAAACAUCAGAAUUUAUAUAAAUUCUAUCAUUAUAAUGCUUCCUGAAAAAGGCAGCUGCAUGUUUACAGGGUAAUGAACUAAAUAAAGCGCCGUCUUAACAAGACUCAAAUGGCACUGUUUGAUUUUAAAUUAAAGAAAAAGGUGCAGUAACACUGGAAAUCUGUACAAAAUUAUAUCAAAGAUUUCGAAAUGGCGACUUUGAUCUUUCUGGUCGAGAAUGUUCCGGAGAGCUAAGAAAAUUUGAAGACGAAAAAAUCAGCAAAAAGGAUUCGGCAGUUGCCCAAAAGAUGGGCUAAAGUCAUUGAAAAUAAUUGAGAUUAUUUUGAAUAAUAAUAUAUGUAUGAUUACUUUAGAAAUAAAUAGUAAAUUUU